rnacentral:rRNA from 1 species
UACGAAGGGGGCUAACGUUGCUCGGAAUCACUGGGCGUAAAGCGCACGUAGGCGGCUUCUUAAGUCAGGGGUGAAAUCCUGGAGCUCAACUCCAGAACUGCCUUUGAUACUGAAGAUCUUGAGUUCGGGAGAGGUGAGUGGAACUGCGAGUGUAGAGGUGAAAUUCGUAGAUAUUCGCAAGAACACCAGUGGCGAAGGCGGCUCACUGGCCCGAUACUGACGCUGAGGCACGAAAGCGUGGGGAGCAAACAGG